rnacentral:rRNA from 1 species
UACGUAGGGGUCUAGCGUUGUCCCGGAAUUAUUGGGGCGUAAAGAGCUCGUAGGCGGUUCGGCAAGUCGGAUGUGAAAUCUCCACGCUUAACGUGGAGGGGCCAUUCGAAACUGCCGUGACUCGAGUCCGGUAGGGGAGUGCGGAAUUCCCGGUGUAGCGGUGAAAUGCGCAGAUAUCGGGAGGAACACCAGUGGCGAAGGCGGCACUCUGGGCCG